rnacentral:sRNA from 1 species
GCCAGGUCUGGUGGAGCUUGUCUGUAGUCCCUCUUACCUUGAAGGCUGAGGCAAGAGGAUCAUUUGAGCCCAGGAGUUUGAGAGUAGCCUAAGCAACAUAGUGAAAAUUUGUCUCAA